rnacentral:tRNA from 1 species
AUUAAUUUGGCAGAUUAGUGCAAUAAAUUUAGAAUUUAUAUAAGUAAAAAAAAAAAUAUUAUUACAUUUAAUA